UACGUAGGGUGCAAGCGUUAAUCGGAAUGACUGGGCGUAAAGGGUGUGUAGGCGGUUUGUUAAGUCUGAUGUGAAAUCCCCGGGCUCAAUCUGGGAACUGCGUUGGAAACUGGCAAACUAGAGUACGGGAGAGGGAUGCGGAAUUCCAGGUGUAGCGGUGAAAUGCGUAGAUAUCUGGAGGAACACCGGUGGCGAAGGCGGCAUCCUGGACCGGCAUUGGACGCUGAGGCGCGAAAGCUAGGGGAGCAAACGGG
rnacentral:rRNA from 1 species